GGAAUAUUGCACAAUGGGCGCAAGCCUGAUGCAGCCAUGCCGCGUGUAUGAAGAAGGCCUUCGGGUUGUAAAGUACUUUCAGUGGGGAGGAAGGCGAUGAAGUUAAUAGCUUCGUCGAUUGACGUUACCCGCAGAAGAAGCACCGGCUAACUCCGUGCCAGCAGCCGCGGUAAUACGGAGGGUGCAAGCGUUAAUCGGAAUUACUGGGCGUAAAGCGCACGCAGGCGGUCUGUCAAGUCGGAUGUGAAAUCCCCGGGCUCAACCUGGGAACUGCAUUCGAAACUGGCAGGCUAGAGUCUUGUAGAGGGGGGUAGAAUUCCAGGUGUAGCGGUGAAAUGCGUAGAGAUCUGGAGGAAUACCGGUGGCGAAGGCGGCCCCCUGGACAAAGACUGACGCUCAGGUGCGAAAGCGUGGGGAGCAAACAGGAUUAGAUACCCGAG
rnacentral:rRNA from 1 species